UAGGAAAUCUUCCACAAUGGACGCAAGUCUGAUGGAGCAACGCCGCGUGAGUGAAGAAGGGUUUCGGCUCGUAAAGCUCUGUUGUCAAAGAAGAACGUGGGUAAGAGUAACUGUUUACCCAGUGACGGUAUUUAACCAGAAAGCCACGGCUAACUACGUGCCAG
rnacentral:rRNA from 1 species